GGAAACUUGGAAACUACCGUUGGAUCGAGAAAUGGAUGUCCGAGAUUCGUCCACGUCACCAUGAGUUAAAAUUUAACUCACGUCACCAUGAGUUAAAAUUUAACUCGCAGAUUCACUCAUGAUUUAAAAUUUUACUAGGAGUUAAAUUUUAACUCAUGGUGACGUGGACGAAUCUCAGACGUCCAUUUCUCGAUCCAACGGUAGUUUCCACU
rnacentral:pre_miRNA from 1 species